GCCUUCGUAGCUCAGUGGCUAGAGCGAUUGCUUCGUAAGCAAUAGGUCGAGGGUUCAACUCCCUCCGAGGGCU
rnacentral:tRNA from 1 species